rnacentral:rRNA from 1 species
UACAGGGGGUGCAAGCGUUGCUCGGAAUCACUGGGCGUAAAGCGAGCGCAGGCGGCCGAUUAAGUCAGAGGUGAAAGCCCGGGGCUCAACCCCGGAAUGGCCUUUGAAACUGAUAGGCUUGAAUGCAGGAGAGGGUCGCGGAAUUCUUGGUGUAGAGGUGAAAUUCGUAGAUAUCAGGAAGAACACCAGUGGCGAAAGCGCUCUACUGGGCCAUAACUGACACUGAGGGACGAAAGCUAGGGGAGCGAAAGGG